rnacentral:lncRNA from 1 species
GAGGUGACACUGCAGCCCGGCUUGAAGAUAGCUCAAGGGACUGCUUGGUGCACUUCAGUGCUUAGGGUACUCUUGAGUACAGAAGGGCCAUUUAGCGGACUGAGCAAGGCAUUGCUACAGAUGGCAAACAAGGGCAUCUCAUUCCCAAUGACAUUGCUGUGGAGAUGUAAAAGGAACACCAAAUUCUAAGAUUUGCUGCAGGUACAACAGGAAUAAGGAAUAAGAAACUCUGACAACUUAGUGGCAUGAAAAAAAAUGAAGAAAGAAGGCACUUGUUAGAAGGGUAAUGAGUAGUUUCAGCAUCUAAAGUUUAUGUGCAGAUACAGAUUUUAUAAAGACU